rfam:Gossypium raimondii chromosome 7, whole genome shotgun sequence.
UGUUAAAAAUGGUCUAUAUCUACUAUUAAAAACUGGCGUAGAUGACGAAAUGACCAAAUAUUUGCACGUAGUGUGCCACAUGUACCUAAUGCUAAUGUAUAAGAACCAAUUUUUAACGGUAAAAAUGAAUAAAAUUUUUAACA